ACUCCUACGGGAGGCAGCAGUGAGGAAUAUUGGUCAAUGGGCGAGAGCCUGAACCAGCAAGUCGCGUGAAGGAAGAAGGUUCUAUGGAUUGUAAACUUCUUUUGUAAGGGAAUAAAAAGAGUUACGUGUAACUUAUUGUAUGUACUUUACGAAUAAGGAUCGGCUAACUCCGUGCCAGCAGCCGCGGUAAUACGGAGGAUCCAAGCGUUAUCCGGAUUUAUUGGGUUUAAAGGGUGCGUAGGCGGACCCUUAAGUCAGUGGUGAAAGUUUGCGGCUCAACCGUAAAAUUGCCAUUGAAACUGAGGGUCUUGAGUGUAAAUGAGGUAGGCGGAAUGUGUUGUGUAGCGGUGAAUGCUUAGAUAUAACCAGACACCAAUUGCGAAGGCAGCUUACUGGGAUACAACUGACGCUGAGGCACGAAAGCGUGGGGAUCAAACAGGAUUAGAUACCCUGGUAGUC
rnacentral:rRNA from 1 species